rnacentral:rRNA from 1 species
CGCUAGCGGCAGGCUUAACACAUGCAAGUCGAGGGGUAUAAGUCUUCGGAUUUAGAGACCGGCGCACGGGUGCGUAACGCGUAUGCAAUCUGCCUUUCACUGAGGGAUAGCCCAGAGAAAUUUGGAUUAAUACCUCAUAGUAUUACGACCCGGCAUCGGGAUGUAAUUAAAGUCACAACGGUGAAAGAUGAGCAUGCGUCCCAUUAGCUGGUUGGUAAGGUAACGGCUCACCAAGGCGACGACGGGUAGCCGGCCUGAGAGGGUGACCGGCCACACUGGGACUGAGACACGGCCCAGACUCCUACGGGAGGCAGCAGUGGGGAAUAUUGGACAAUGGGCGCAAGCCUGAUCCAGCCAUGCCGCGUGCAGGAUGACGGUCCUAUGGAUUGUAAACUGCUUUUGUACGAGAAGAAACACUGAUUCGUGAAUCAGCCUGACGGUAUCGUAAGAAUAAGGAUCGGCU